UCUCUGAAUCAUUUCUGAGAAUAAUAUUGAUUUACAUGCAAUUUUCAGAUUAUUCUAGUGUGUUUUACAUAUCUGACAUAAAAAGUGGGAAAAUAAAACUGUUGAACCAACUUCUGAUGAACUUCAAGUUAUCUGAAAAAUUUCCAACCUUCAGAGAUACAUUGUUUUUAGCAUAAAGCGACAAGGUGGAACUCUAGUGUACCAUCAUAUCCAAAAUCAAAAUGAGUUUCAGAGUUUCAGUGUCCAUUUGACUUUGCUGCGUACGCUUCAUCCGUCUCCAAAGGCAGCGGUGCACUUCACAACAAGACGAUCUCCAUACCACAAUAAAUCAAAAGGAAAGCGUCCCUCUCUCACUAGAGACUUUAGUGACCGAGUGAAAAGAGUCAGACGACUCUGGAUUCACAAAGUCAAAGAUCAGAACACAACCAUCAUAACGGAAUUCUCCUGAUGUUCAACCCGUCGACGGACAACUUGUUUUUCUUUUUCCUCCAAGGAUAAAAGGCCGUCACAAUUAAGAGAAGAAACAGCACAGCGAAUUGCACUCCACACACGAGCAGGGAGGAACCUGCAUGACAAAAAUCACAAGUCAACUCUGUUCAGAGGCAGAAAAGACAGUUUCACUGGUUAACAUCCUGUGUUUUACACCUACAGCACUUUAUUUUUAAUCAUGCUGGAGUUUGAAUAUUUUUAAAAAACACCAAAUCACCCCGACCACUAACAGAAGUACGAGUGCAGCCGGUACACAAACAGCUGCUGUCAAUAUUCUGACUGUAAAAAAAGACACAAGAGACACACAUAGCUUUAACUUUAGUAAACAUUACAGGUGUUUUCUUUGAGAAUGGAGAACACAGAUAAUGGAAAUGACUUGAAUGAAUUAAAUACAGGGGAGUCCGUUUUCACUUACUGAUGCCCCAUGAGUCACUACUGGGGGAGAGGGUCCCAGUUUUAUUGGUGGAUGUGAAAUUACAUUUGAGGUUAGUUGAUCCUGUGAUACCAGACUCCUCACCAUCACGUGGCGAUGCUGUGUCUGUGGGGGAAACUGAGUAUUAGUGGCUUUAAACCAGUGUUGGGCAAGUUACUGAAAAUUAGUAAUUAGUUACAGUUACUAGUUACUUCUUUUAAAGGUAAUUUAAUUACUU
ensembl:lncRNA